UUAACGACUCUCGGCAACGGAUAUCUCGGCUCUCGCAUCGAUGAAGAACGUAGCGAAAUGCGAUACUUGGUGUGAAUUGCAGAAUCCCGUGAACCAUCGAGUCUUUGAACGCAAGUUGCGCCCCAAGCCUUCUGGCCGAGGGCACGUCUGCCUGGG
rnacentral:rRNA from 2 species